AUUGAACGCUGGCGGCAGGCCUAACACAUGCCAGUCGAACGGUAACAGGAAGAAGCUUGCUUCUUUGCUGACGAGUGGCGGACGGGUGAGUAAUGUCUGGGAAACUGCCUGAUGGAGGGGGAUAACUACUGGAAACGGUAGCUAAUACCGCAUAACGUCGCAAGACCAAAGAGGGGGACCUUCGGGCCUCUUGCCAUCGGAUGUGCCCAGAUGGGAUUAGCUAGUAGGUGGGGUAACGGCUCACCUAGGCGACGAUCCCUAGCUGGUCUGAGAGGAUGACCAGCCACACUGGAACUGAGACACGGUCCAGACUCCUACGGGAGGCAGCAGUGGGGAAUAUUGCACAAUGGGCGCAAGCCUGAUGCAGCCAUGCCGCGUGUAUGAAGAAGGCCUUCGGGUUGUAAAGUACUUUCAGCGGGGAGGAAGGGAGUAAAGUUAAUACCUUGGCUCAUUGACGUUACCCGCAGAAGAAGCACCGGCUAACUCCGUG
rnacentral:rRNA from 1 species